AUUGAACGCUGGCGGAAUGCUUUACACAUGCAAGUCGAACGGCAGCACGGGUGCUUGCACCUGGUGGCGAGUGGCGAACGGGUGAGUAACAUAUCGGAACGUACCCAGUAAUGGGGGAUAACUAAGCGAAAGCUUAGCUAAUACCGCAUACGCCCUGGGGGGGAAAGCGGGGGAUCGAAAGACCUCGCGUUAUUGGAGCGGCCGAUAUCUGAUUAGCUAGUUGGUGGGGUAAAGGCCCACCAAGGCGACGAUCAGUAGCUGGUCUGAGAGGAUGUUCAGCCACACUGGAACUGAGACACGGUCCAGACUCCUACGGGAGGCAGCAGUGGGGAAUUUUGGACAAUGGGGGCAACCCUGAUCCAGCCAUUCCGCGUGAGUGAAGAAGGCCUUCGGGUUGUAAAGCUCUUUCGGCAGGGAAGAAACGCUCUGGGUUAAUAACCUGGGGUAAUGACGGUACCUGAAGAAGAAGCACCGGCUAACUACGUGCCAGCAGCCGCCGUAACAC
rnacentral:rRNA from 1 species